rnacentral:rRNA from 1 species
UACGUAGGGUGCUAGCGUUGUUCGGAAUCAUUGGGCGUAAAGCGCGUGUAGGCGGUCAAAUAAGUCUGGUGUGAAAGCCCUGGGCUCAACCGAGGAAGUGCAUCAGAAACUAUUUGACUAGAAGACGGUAGAGGAAGGUGGAAUUCCAAGUGUAGAGGUGAAAUUCGUAGAUAUUUGGAGGAAUACCGGUGGCGAAGGCGGCCUUCUGGGCCGAUCUUGACGCUGAGACGCGAAAGCGUGGGGAGCAAAC